CCUCAAAGUAUCCAGAGGAAACCAACCCAACCAACACCUUUUUACUUAAGACUUCUGACCUUCAGAACUGUGAGAAGGCCCCUAAAGCCCCUCAAAUUUGGAAAGCUCAAGUCAAUAUGAAUUAAAGAUCAAAUACACAAGAAAUCCAGACUACUUCUCUUGGUGAAGAAGAAGAGCUGUCUAGAGACUUGCUCAAGCGGAAGUCACUUCUCACACUGCCCUAUGCCGUCAGGCCUUCUGUGCACACAAGCAAUUGCCUGGAUCAAUAUCACCAGCUCCUGAAGAGUCCUGCUGCACAGGCAAUCCACUCUGUUCCUCUCCUCGGCAAGAACCCAGUUCAAGUCCCAGAACAGGAAGCACUGCUGGCUACAGUGUAAAGUGCUACAUGGAAUCUACGCAUUGCUGAAGAACCAAAGCUUUUGGUUUACAAGAUGUUCUUUUGAGAGUAAAGCCCAUCAGCCAAGAAAGAUGUCUGGAUGGGGAGACGCCCCAGCAGUUACAGCACUUGCAUGAAUCCAAGCACGAGGACCUGAGUUCAGAUCCCCAUAAAGAACCAGCCACAGCAGGACACAUCUCUCACUGCAGCAAGCCUACAGGGACACGGGAGGAGGGAAUGAAACAAUCCCUGGAAAUCAUAUCUGUGGUCUUGACUUUUUCCUACACUCAUCAGCUGUGCUGGCUCUCCACAGUCUCCAUCAUUGUGAGAAUCCACCUGCUCUCCCUGGGAGAAGAAGCCAAUGGCUCCCAUGCCAGGCUCUUUGGGGAUCAUCUCUCUGCUUGGAGAGCCUCCUCUGCUCCAGCCCCUGAAGUAGAAAGCUGCUAUUUAACCAAAUACACAGGCUAACAACUGGGAUUAAAUGACCUCAAAGGUAAAAAUCUCUGCCUCCAGCAAACAGAGUUACCAAUUAGGCUUCAUUGUCAAGCCAUGUGUACUCUAUAAAAACAGGUUAAGCCAUGGUGAGAACGUGCUGUGCUUACACAGCUGUCUAGGAUAAAUUAGCGAGGGUAUGUCUGGGAUAGGUGAAUGUUUUGAUUAAGCCAGUUCUCUCUAACUCCCACAUACCAUACAUGUGUCUACUUGCACCCUUGAGUAAUUAAGAAUAUGCUAAAGAAAAGAAACUACAAAUGAAUACAUGUUCUUUUUACUGAUCUGUCUGCUGGAAAUUUCUUCAUGUGAUUUUUCUGGAGCAAAAUAUUUUAGUAGUACAAUGUGUAGCCAUGGAAAGUAACCCUCUCUAUUACCCCAUUCCCCAGGCUAAGACACUUUUAAUGAAGCAUUUUAGCUCUAAUGGAGAACUUCUUAAAGCCAGAUCAAAACUAAUAAUCAGUGUGUCCAAGAAGUGACUGGGUUUUAAAAGAAGGGGCAGUGUGAGCUGUCCUUAGGCAGCAGAAGGUCUCUCCUAAAAUCAUCAACAUCAGAGCUCCAGAACCAGAAGUCUUGUCUACGAAUCAAAACCCUGUCUCAAAAACACAGCAACAACAACAAAAAUAACUUUUGGAAUUCACUUAGAAUUAUCCUUACUGAUAAAAUUACAACUAUAAAAGAGAUAAUUAUUUUAAGUGUAGAAAAUUAUUCAGGAAAAAAUGUAUUCUAGAAUGCAACCCCGUGUUUAAGUAACUGUUUUGGAUAAUUUCUCCUUUGCCAUUAUUUAUACUUAGAUACAGACUGAGGAUUAGAAAUGAUCUUGUGGGUGCCUAUAAAAGACUUCCCGUGAAUGCAAUUUAUAAUCAUUAAAUGAUGUAUAUCCAUGCAAGCAGAAACACAACCAAGAUUAUUCAGAAAAAAAGACUCCUUUCUUGAAACUUUUGAACAUUAAAUAUGGAACUUUACAUGCAUACACAUUAUACAGCAACAUGUUUUAAGAAUAAGCAUGUAUUCCGUGAGUUUUACUGUAUGUAAACUCAAUGAGAAUGUAUUUUAAAAUAAAACAAGAAUUUUGUUCUUAGGAAUUGAUGUUUGGGCAUUAGCAAGAGAAUGCAAAACCCAAUUCUGCCAGUUCCCAAGAAUUCCCAGGGACAGCCUCAGCCAACAGUGUCAGCCAGGGAUAAAACUUGCUCAGAGGUAGUCCUCACACCUAAUGAGUCCAGGCUACAGGCAUGCCUUUAUUUUGGCUUGGUUUGAGAGUUUGGGGUUUGUUUUUUAUUGAAGUUUUCAUUUGUUUGUUUUUGCUGUGGGUCAAACUCAGGGCCUUGGAACUGAGAAGAAGAGAGAGACUCCUCAGCUUCACAGUUAGCCUCUCUCUGCCCUUAGCAAGUAUCUUUCCACGCUUCCUAACUGAAUGUUAUUUAAAAUUCUGUUUUGAUUACACACACUUUUUGUAUUUCAGGGAAAAAAAAAAACAAUAUUCUCCUGUGCAUGGUUUUAAUUCAUUUUCUGAAACAGAAGUUUAACAACAAACAGCAGAAACAGUUUUUAGGGGGAAACACAGAAAUUCAGGCAGACACUCUCUAAUGAGGAAUAUGGAUGUGGGAGUACUUGGGGAAACCAAGCUGUGGAGAGUUGCCUAAGAUUAUUCUUCAGUCUUCCUCAACCUCCCUUGGAUUUUCCAACAAUCCCUCCCACACCAGCCACACACACAAAGAGACCAACCUGUGAGGGGUACACAGCCUGGGGGGGGGGGGAGUUCAGGAUGCUGCUCUUUACCCAGUUUCUGCACGGGCAGCUGGUUAGCAGCACUCACUGUGAGGACCUUAGUGGCAGCCCAGGGUGCUCUCCCUAGGGCUGCUGUUGAGCUCAGAUUUGAACCCUGGUGUAGCUUUAAAAUGUCCAGUGUCUGAGUUUGGCCCAUUUUCUCCCAGGAAAACUUUCAUGUUCCCUAAAACAACCUCCUCUGACCUAUGGUAACCUGUCAGUAGAUGUCCAUAGGAAAACCAUCUGCCUAAAGGACUCGUGGGAGCAGGGGCUUCAGACAGGCAGAACUGCACCCCAACCCAGACAGCACAGUCAGCCAUGGUGGCUUCGUGCACUUAAGAGAACAAAGUUAAGGACUUGGCAGCGAGUUGAUGUAGCAAACACUCAAAAGAACCCAUUUUCCAUGCUAGAAAAAUGUCCUGGCCACUUCAUAAACAGCCACACAUGUAGUUUUGCUGGUUAGCCGGUGCCCGGGCUCUUGUCCCAGACAGAGUUAGAUGAUGGAGAAAUACUAGAAAUGCAACCAUACUGAGAGACCUAAGGGAUUUACUGGGGGACACCACAGUGGGUUUUAUGGGGCACAUAGUAUCCAGCACUAGGAUCCUGAAGCACCUCAGCACAAGUUCCUUUAGGCCACGCAGAAGCAGUAGAGUGUGGUUUUCUGAUCAAGCAGUGAGGGUGUACCAAACACUCCAACAGGACCGGAAGAAACCGUGAGUUCCCGUGAUGCUCAGCUUAGCUUUCUGAGGAACCAUUACAAUAACUUUCCCAAAGAGGAAGGACUGUUGAAAUGAAAACAGAGAUAAUAAGCUUUUAGGGACAAUGACUGAUAAAGCCCAAUCUCCCAAAUAACCCACUCUGCUGUGGCCACAGGAAUCCCAGCCUCUGCCUGGUGGGGAGGCCUUGACGUGCUGGGCUGGAGCGCCCCCUUCUGGCCACAGCCUUCAGUGACACCAAGUUCUGAGGCCAGAGUCUCUCAGGUGAGAGAGAUUAUCUAAAAUGUCACCAUUUUGUCCUGGAUUUCCUGGAUGUUUUGGAUUAAGAAUUCUUUAUGUUUUGAAUUUUCUUUGACAGUUGUGUCAACAUCUUCUAAGGUAUCUUCCACACCUGAGAUUCUCUCUUCUAUCUCUUGUGUAGGUGAUCCUUAAUUCCUGACCUCUUUCUUUAAAGAAAAAAAGGAAAAUAAGAGUUAGCUAUCAAUCCAUCACCAAAGACCAUUUUUAACAUCAUUUGGUAUGUAUCAUUUUUACAUAGUUGAGAUCGUGCCUUGCGGCAGUCAUUUUCCAUCUACUU